rnacentral:misc_RNA from 1 species
GAUGAAGAACGUAGCGAAAUGCGAUAAGUAAUGUGAAUUGCAGAAUUCAGUGAAUCAUCGAAUCUUUGAACGCACAUUGCGCCCGCCAGCAUUCUGGCGGGCAUGCCUGUUCGAGCGUCAUUUCAACCCUCGACCUCCCUUUGGGGAAGUCGGCGUUGGGGACCGGCAGCACACCGCCGGCCCUGAAAUGGAGUGGCGGCCCGUCCGCGGCGACCUCUGCGUAGUAAACCAACUCGCACCGGAACCCCGACGUGGCCACGCCGUAAAACACCCAACUUCUGAACGUUGACCUCGAAUCAGGUAGGACUACCCGCUGAACUUAAGCAUAUCAAAAGCGGAGGA